UACGUAGGGGGCAAGCGUUAUCCGGAAUUACUGGGUGUAAAGGGUGAGUAGGCGGUUAAAUAAGCCAUAUGUGAAAGUCUGUAGCUCAACUAUAGAAUUGCAUAAGGAACUGUGUAACUAGAGUGCAGGAGAGGUAAGUGGAAUUCCUAGUGUAGCGGUGAAAUGCGUAGAUAUUAGGAGGAGCACCAGUGGCGAAGGCGACUUACUGGACUGAAACUGACGCUGAGACACGAAAGCGUGGGGAGCAAACAGG
rnacentral:rRNA from 1 species